rnacentral:rRNA from 1 species
AGCAGCCGCGGUAAUUCCAGCUCCAAUAGCGUAUAUUAAAGUUGCUGCAGUUAAAAAGCUCGUAGUUGAAUUUCGGGAUCGAUAUAUCGGUCGUGCCUCGGUACGUACUGGUAUUUUCGGUUUCUCCCUUCUGACGAACCUUGAUGUCAUUAAUUUGGUGUCUUGGGGAAUCAGGACUGUUACUUUGAAAAAAUUAGAGUGUUUAAAGCAGGCUCACGCUUGAAUACAUUAGCAUGGAAUAAUGAAAUAGGACGUUUGAUUCUAUUUUGUUGGUUUCUAGGAUCGACGUAAUGAUUAAUAGGGAUAGUUGGGGGCAUUAGUAUUCAAUUGUCAGAGGUGAAAUUCUUGGAUUUAUUGAAGACUAACUACUGCGAAAAGCAUUUGCCAAGGAUGUUUUCAUUAAUCAAGAACGAAAGUUAGGGGAUCGAAGACGAUCAGAUACCGUCGUAGUCUUAACCAUAAACUAUGCCGACUAGAGAUCGGAUGAUGUUAAUUUUUUAAUGACUCAUUCGGCGCCUUACG